rnacentral:rRNA from 1 species
UACGAAGGGGGCUAGCGUUGUUCGGAAUUACUGGGCGUAAAGCGCAUGUAGGCGGAUAUUUAAGUCAGGGGUGAUAUCCCGCAGCUCAACUGCGGAACUGCCUUUGAUACUGGGUAUCUUGAGUAUGGAAGAGGUGAGUGGAAUUCCGAGUGUAGAGGUGAAAUUCGUAGAUAUUCGGAGGAACACCAGUGGCGAAGGCGGCUCACUGGUCCAUUACUGACGCUGAGGUGCGAAAGCGUGGGGAGCAAACAGG